rnacentral:rRNA from 1 species
AUGACAAAUGUGAAGCAGAAAAGGUUCAUAGUGACAGUCCAUGUCCUUCACAAAGCAAACAUUGAUCAUUCCUCUGGUGGAAGAACUGACAUUGGCUCAAAUUACGGAAGAAAAAGGGCCAAGAUGGGCGCCGUUAAGGGCAAACCACACACCGAUGAGCAUGAAGUCUCUGAGGGUUCCGAGGGAGCUUCUGGGCGUCUCUUCAUGCUGUCAGAGAAAGCUUGUCUAACACCAACACAGCGGAAGAAAUUGUUAAAGAAAGUUAAGAAGAUUAAGUUCAAACCACCCUUUUAUGUUGCUAUCAUGAGCAAGAGCACUGUCUGUCAGCGUGGCAGCCAAAACAAUCCCAUGCUACGCUUUGGCUCGCAGUACGCAACCAGGUAUCUUGUUGAGAAGUUUUCUGGUGGCCAUCCUUGUGGAAAACGUAGAGGAGUCGAGUUGGUGCUUCUGCGGGAGGGCAAGAGUAGGUCAUGGCCUACCAAGCUGCGGCAUAGCUCGCAAGGCUCGAGGGUUCUCAAAGGAUGGCCAUCUUUCGCCCGCGACAACCACCUGCGGGAGGGGGACCUCUGCCUCUUCAAGCUGCUGAAGUGUGAGGAGCUUCUGACAAUAGGAUCCAAGAUGAGCAACCCUUGCGAAUACUGUGAGAGGAAGAUAAGGUUCAUCAGAAAAAUAAACGGAAAUUUUAUGCAUAGCUUGGUCAUGCCUAAGUGGUUUGUGAAUCAGUUUGGAGGGAAGAUCUCGAGAUCCAUCAAACUACAAACCCCCAAUGGUAACAUAUAUGAUGUUGCAGUUACUGAGAAUAUGAAUCGAACAAUGCUGAAAUCUGGUUGGGCAUCAUUUGUUGAUGCCAAUCAAAUAGAAGAAAAUUAUACCUUGAUGUUUCGGUACCUUGGAAACGCCCUCUUUGAGGUUAUAAUAUUUGAUUCCAAUGAUGAACCAAGCAGUCGCUAUGUUGAUAAUUCGAGCAGUUCUCAUGAUGGUACUACUCAGUCAUCAGCAGAUGAAUGUUCAGAUUCAGAUGGAAGCCAGAAGGAAAGCUCGUACUGUUACAGAAAAUCAGCAAAGAUGCCUGCAAUGUGUAAUUCUUCUGAGGAAUUCUCAGGGCAGUGCUAUCUUACAGAAGCACAGGAGGUAAAAAUGCUUGGACUUGUAAAGAAAAUUCGACCUGAAAUCCCGGUGCUUGUUGUCCAGAUGAAGAAGAGCAUUGUAAACAAUAGCCAUACUCUGGCAAUAUGUAAGGAUUACGCACUCGAGCACUUGCCAUGCUGGAGUAUCACUAUCAUACUCCAGCUGCCUAGGAAAAACAAGGUUUGGAAGUGCAAACUCUAUAACAGGCCAUCUAGAACGUCUGAUGCUGGUCGGCGCAACCUUUAUUUAGGGAACUUUGUCCGUGACAAUCCUGUCAGAGAAGGCGAUAUCUGCCUCUUUCAACCAAUGACAAAUGUCAAGCAGAAAAGAUUCACAAUGACUGUCCAUCUCCUUAGCAAAACGAGCAUUAAUCAUUCCCCUGGUGCAAGAACUGGCAUUGGCUCAAAUCAUGGAAGGACAAGCACAAAAAAGGCAGGUGAUGUGGAGGAACCACCUACCGAUGGUGAAGAGUACUCUUCGGAACAUGAGGAACAUGAAGUCUCUGAUGAUUCUGAGGGAGGUUCUGAACCUCCCUUCAUGCUGGCAGACAAAGCUUGCCUAACAUGGGCACAAGAGAAGAAAGUCUUGGAGAAAGUCGAGGAAAUCGAGUCAGAACUGCCCUUGUAUGUUGCUAUCAUGCGCAAGUCCAAUGUCUGUCGGGGUGGUUCCUAUAACACCCCCACCCUACGCUUUGGCUCGCAAUACUCAAGCAGAUAUCUUGUUCAGAAGUCUGCUGCUGGCUAUCAUCGUGGAAAGAGUAGUGUGAUCAGUUUGGUGCUUCAGCGGGAGGAGAAGAGCAGAUCAUGGCCAACCAAUUUGAAACACAACAUGCAACACACAACUCAUGUGGUGAAGGUUCUCAAAGGAUGGACGUUUUUCGCCCGCGACAACCGCCUGAGGGAGGGGGACCUCUGUCUCUUCAAGCUGAUAAAGAACAAGGAGCCUCUGACUAUGGUGAUCCAUAUUAUUCGCCGUGAGGAAUGUUAG